rnacentral:ncRNA from 1 species
GAAAGCCGUAUUCGAUGAAAGUCGUAUGUACGGCUUGGAGGGAGAUCUUGCCUAUCUUUCGAGAUCCACCCUAC